rnacentral:lncRNA from 12 species
UAAAAAUUGGGCAGAAUCUCUGAGAAUUUUAGAUCAGAAAUUUCCUCCUCAACAACUAUUUAUUAUCAGUAUAUUGUCAACUGCAAUCUUUCUUUUGGAAUGUUCCAGAAGGUUGCCUCAUUAAAGGGAUUUUCUUCACUCUUGAAGCUAGUAGUGGAUUACAUUUAUCAAAAUUGUCUGAGAAUGAAAGGUAAUUUUAUGGUUAAAAUGCUGUGGAGCAAAUUUGAAGUGAUCACUGUUGAGUAGGAUAGGAAUUUCACAAGUAGAUACUUGAGACGCAGAUGAGCAAGAUCAGAUUAGUUACCAUCUAGAAGAGAAUUUUUUUAAAGAUUUUAUUUAUUUAUUCAUGAGAGAGACACACACACACAGACAGAGAGAGAGAGAGAGAGAGAGGCAGAGACACAGGCAGAGGAAGAAGCAGGCCCCACUCAAGGAGCCCCACGUGGGACUCGAUCCCCUAGGCUGAAAGCAGGCACUAAACUGCUGAGCCACCCAGGGAUCCCUAGAAGAGAAUUUAUAAGCUUAUUUUCCACCUUAGGUUUUGGAAGCAAUGUGUUUGCUCUGCACGGGACAAGAUGAACCUGAGAUGAGGAUUCCUUUUGAGGAGGCCAGCAUGGUGGAAGGAGCACUGGCCUGGGUGCUGCACAUUCCUGGAGCAGUGGACACAGCAGAGGCUUUUGGUCUGAGUCUAGAAGCCAACAGCCUUUCUCCUGAGAGGCUGCUUUGAUAUGUAGCAUUGUUCAACCUGGGCUGAGGACCCAAAGCACCAAACACUUCCAAUGGGUUCACAAGUUUUCUUCUGCCCAGAAUCCAGCAGUGCCCUGGAGCAGAAGUAGGCUCUGGAGCAGGAACAUGGCUGCCAGCAGAGGAGGGUGAAGAUGAAGCAUGCAUCAUUACCUGCCCUGUGGCUUCCAGGACCAGUCCCUCUUUCUCCUAGGAUGAGUUGGCAAGUUGGAUGUGAAGUGAGGGUCUGAAUGAGACAUGUAUCAUCACUUCCACAUUUCUGAUGGACUUCUUCACCCACAGUUGGAACAAAAUUAUUGAAAAACAGAAAAAAUCUUUUAGAGAAUCUAGAAAAAAGAAGCAAUUAAAAUAUCCUUCAAGUCCACCCAUGUUAAGUAUUUG